rnacentral:rRNA from 1 species
UACGUAGGGUGCGAGCGUUGUCCGGAAUUAUUGGGCGUAAAGGGCUCGUAGGCGGUUUGUCGCGUCGGGAGUGAAAACUCAGGGCUUAACCCUGAGCCUGCUUCCGAUACGGGCAGACUAGAGGUAUGCAGGGGAGAACGGAAUUCCUGGUGUAGCGGUGAAAUGCGCAGAUAUCAGGAGGAACACCGGUGGCGAAGGCGGUUCUCUGGGCAGUAACUGACGCUGAGGAGCGAAAGCGUGGGGAGCGAACAGG